UGUAAUCCACUCUCUUUUAUUAAAUACAACAUAUUGGUGGUGACAUGUAGGAGAUUUACAACAUGGACAGCGUUCACUUGGUGCCUUCUUCAAGUUUGGGCUCUGAAAAAAAGGAGAAAGAACAGGAGGAUUAUCAGUGAUAUAACUGCGUUUUAAUCUGUGCAGCUGGAAAACAUCACAAUACUGCAGAUUAAACUCAAAACAGACACUCAGAGAUUACAACUUUGAAGCUGGGAGCUGCUUCACCAUGAUUUCAAACAGUAUCGGAAAAUCAUCCUUGCUCUUGUUGAAGAGGACGGCGGAGAUGCCAAUGUUCCUGCGCAGAGUCAGGCUCACGGCAGAGCGCAGCAGAGAGGACAGGUGGUAUAACCGGUGAAGUGCCAUCUGAAGGAGGAAAAACACACAGUGACGAGAUGAUGGGACUGUGUCUCUGAGGGAAUGUGUGGGCGGGAGUCAAAUCAGGACAUCAUGGUCGUUUAUUCGUCAUAUUGGCAUAUUGAGUGUUUAAAGUUUGCACUUUAUACAAAAUACCUCAUUCUUUUUCAGUUGUUUUAGCAAUACAAAGGAUUUCAAAUGAGUUUUCUGCCUUUAAUUCUUUAAAGAAUUCUUCUUUCAACCAUUUUUCUUCAAUUUUGUUUUUGGAAUAAACAUUUAUCACACAAUUUCACUGAUUUAUUCUACAAAUAUUUUGGUUGUCCUUUUUUUUUAAAAUGAGGACCUUGCUUAAAAUAAAACACUCCAGGGUCGACGCGAAUACAGAACGUGAAAAUAACGAAUUUGAUCUCAGGGAACUUGACGAGGUCCCCUCCUCCGUAUAGCCUCUGCAGUUUGGUCACCUCCUCAGACAGGUUCUUCUGAUAGGAGGGGCCGCCGUCCACAAUGCCACCUGAAGUCCUGGAGAAGCCCGGACAUCAAAUUGAGUUAUGUUCAGGAGAUGAUAAGCACAUGAAACGAUAACAACUGUUAGCUUACGUAAGCAUGAUACCACAGCUUAAAGACACCUUUUGCAAUUCUGAAGCACACAAACUAUUGUCAUAUGAGAAAUCUGAAAUGUUGUCCUUCAGGUCGUUAUCUUUGUAAUGUUUGUGUUUUUUAUCAAAAAGCACUCUGUUCUCCGACACGUAAACAAUCAGCCAGUCGGCCAUGUUGGAUAUACAGGUGACUCAGACGUCGCAACAACACGUUAUCUGAUGGGUCAGAAGUGGAAACACAGAAUGCACCCUGCUCCGAAAAAAUAAAUGCCGCAAUAUCGCAGGACGGGAAAACAUCGCUGAUGUGAACACUUGUAUUUACAGGAUACAUGUUCGAUAAAAAAUAUUGACGUCUGAAAUAAUGGCACAAAAAAAACGGUCCCAGUGUGAAAGGACCUUAAUCGGUAAUCGGAUUGCCCGCCCCCCCCCCAAUAAUCGGCAUCAGCCCCAAAAACUCCAUAUCAAUCGGGCCCUUGUUUUGAGACAGUCUUACUCUUACACUCAACCCUCUCAUGACCUCUCAUUACACGGUAAAAUUAGAUUAUAAUUUAUCAAAUUUGACUACUUCUUUACAUUUUAGUGCCUGAGUUCAAGCCCGAUUCUCUAAGAAAGGCUUAAAGAGUAUGCAUGUCUAUAUUUUCGCGAGAUUUACUUAGAUGUUGUUAGAGUAAAUGAUCAGGUGUUCCCACAGAUCAUUAUGCAUCCUGUAAAAAGUUAUCUUAAAGAAAUGAAGAAUUACAGAUAAGAUCUGUGACUGGUGCUCAUGGGAAAUGUAGUCCUCAUCUACAAAAUUACGAAAAGAAGAAAAGACUGAGGCAAAUAUCAGAAAGUACCACUGAUUACAAAAUAAAUAUUACAAUUUAAGCUAAAGGAGUGUAAAUGCCGGUUAAUUCUUAAGUUUUAUGAAAUAAAGAGGACUUAAAACUUUAAAAACUGGACAAAUAAUCCGCUUGGUGUCAUUAGUUUGGGAUGAAUUAUGAACUACUGUAGGACUUUAACCUUUAUGUUACGUUAUAUUCUAACUGUUUUUCAUGAAUUAAGUCUAAAACAACUGAUUUAAUUCAUUGUAUGAACUGAUGAAACUCUGAAGUACAGCCAUGUUGUUAAUGCUAACGUAGUUCAGCUGGGGUCACCAACAGCGAAUACACUAAAAGAUGCAGAGAUAGCUGCACACGAAACACAUGCAUCAUUAUAAAGUACGAUAAGAAACGCUGUUUUAUUAAAUGUUGACUUUCAGGGAGAAGGAAAAGCUGCUGUUUCCUUGUCUCCUUUCCUCUACCUUUACCUCUCAUGCUAACAUGUUCAGCUAACUUAAGCUGGCUCGGAUCUAUGUGGUCGUUUUUUAAACCCAGGUGAACUUUACGCUCUCCGACAGAAUAAACACGCUUCUGUUGUGAUUGAAUCUAUUCAUGCACCGAGUCAGAUGACAUUUUUGAUGCCGUUUCUGUCCAAACUCAGGACUCACCUUGGGUUUGACACUCGAAGCGCAGAUCCAAAUGUGAGACACCGCGGUGGAUUCU
rnacentral:lncRNA from 1 species